rnacentral:lncRNA from 1 species
AGCCACUUAGUCAUGAAGGCAAGUGUAUGCGCAACAAGGAAUCUCUAAUCCUCGAUAAGAGAGGAAGAAUACUUUAAGAUAUGAUUCGGGAAUCUUCGGCCGAAGUAUCGAGCGUAUUAAAAGGAAAGCGUUCCUAUACGACUCAAAUGAAUCAUAUAUGAAGGAAUAAUCACAUUAGGGGUUUGACAUAAUAUCCAUACCCUAAUGAUGUGAUUGAGAGUAUUGUAUU